AUUUAGUUGCAUGCAAACAUUAGACAAAGCAGGUUGAUGUCGCAUUGUUGUUGAAAAAAGAGAGAAAUUUCAAUUUGUUGGCGUUAGCGAAGAAGAAGUUAUCAAAGCUAUGUUGGGCAUUAAGUCGAAUGCUGUGGGUGAUGAUGGAAUUUCACUUAAAUUUGUCAAACUUGUGCUGCCGUAUAUUUGGAAGAAGGCUGCCAGUUGCCAAAAAGAACACGGUUAUGGAUCCCAGCGAUUAUAGGCCGAUAAGUAUACUACCAGCGUUUUCAAAAGUAUGUGAGUCCUUGAUGGUAGCACAAAUAUCGUCAUACAUACAUAAAAAUAAAUUAUCUCCGCUACAAUCCGGCUUCAGAUCUGCAAUCACGGUGCAGCGAACAAAGGUGGCGCCGUCAGUGGUACCGCUACUUUGGUUUUGCCGAUUUUGACAGUUGUGGUAACUUAUAAAUAAACCUUUGUUUACAAAUCAGCGAAAGAGAAAUUUGAAUUAUAAGUGAAAAAUCAGU